GAGGAUGCAGCUCAGCAGGUAGGGUGUUUGCCUACCAUGCAGAAAAACCUGGGUUCUAUUCCUAGCACACUCA
rnacentral:tRNA from 1 species